GUGGGGAAUAUUGGACAAUGGGCGAAAGCCUGAUCCAGCCAUGCCGCGUGUGUGAAGAAGGUCUUCGGAUUGUAAAGCACUUUAAGUUGGGAGGAAGGGCAGUAAGUUAAUACCUUGCUGUUUUGACGUUACCAACAGAAUAAGCACCGGCUAACUUCGUGCCAGCAGCCGCGGUAAUACGAAGGGUGCAAGCGUUAAUCGGAAUUACUGGGCGUAAAGCGCGCGUAGGUGGUUUUGUAAGUUGGAGGUGAAAUCCCCGGGCUCAACCUGGGAACUGCCUCCAAAACUGCAUGACUAGAGUACGGUAGAGGGUAGUGGAAUUUCCUGUGUAGCGGUGAAAUGCGUAGAUAUAGGAAGGAACACCAGUGGCGAAGGCGACUACCUGGACUGAUACUGACACUGAGGUGCGAAAGCGUGGGGAGCAAACAGGAUUAGAAACCCGAGUAGUCC
rnacentral:rRNA from 1 species